rnacentral:sRNA from 2 species
CGGCCAAGCAGCUGCAAAUCUCUAACACAAUUGGGUUGUUUCUACGGCAACUGGAAUAUUCCAGUCCGUGGGUGGCUUUAAUGAGGUAAUUAGUUAUGACGUAAUCACGAAGUGGGCUGGCUGCUUCCCUUGCCUGCGAAGAACCUUGGACGGUUUCGCCAGAAAAGACCCUUUGGAGCCUGGCAGCAACCGGAAGCAUCAACUGCACUUAGUGAGCAAAAGUGCGGCAGACAAAGCCACCGGGAGGAACACAUUGGGGCCCAAGAAUGGGAACAGAAGAAAUUGUUGCGAUCAGAGCCUGGUUGGUGGCUGUAAUGACGAAGGUGACGGAGUUUUUGCGUUUUCACGUGACUACCACAUCCCAGAACAGUUUUUUUGAUACCAGCUCUCUCAAUUGGCGGUAAGAGGUCCAUCAACACAAGUUUUUCUACACAGAGUACUAGUACAACCAUGACUAGUUCAGCAAACCUUCAAGUUGCUCUAUGGUUUCAAGUCACCUUGGAAGCUGAAGUGUGUAUGUUAUGUUAUCUACCAGCAUAAUAUUCAGCACUCAGCUACUGCCAUAGAGAACACUACUCUCCUUUCCGCUGUUUCUCCCAGGCACAGUUCAGGUUGGUUCAUCUGAGUCAACCGUGCCAUGAUCGCUCCUAAUACCAUUUGGACGACCAGGAGUGCUUGCUCUAACGGGAAAAGGCAACUCUUGGUCGCUAACUAUAAUGCCGUUGACUUCAAAAGAGAUCUCUGGCAUUGGAGACGAGCCUACCAUGCCUAGAGACUGACUAUCAGCAAAUUCAAAACUUGGUCUCAAUGCAUAAAAGAAUUUGAAAGACAUCUAAACAUGGACGAACACAUCUUCUCGAUCACGCAUGGGUGGCUUUUCCUAUUGAAAAACAACUCACAAGUGUUGGGAAAGUCGCAUAUGAUUCGAGCAAUUGGCGCCAACAGAACAGUCUGGAUAUUUCAACACGACAAUUGGGGCAUCUUCUUUCCCUAAAGAGAGAUGGUUUAUGACUCUGGGGGAAAGUGGUAAACCAUUACUAUUCAGAGGAAACCGUUUGUCUUCAAACUCAUCAUUUCUUCCUCGAUCUGGCUCCACUUUGUUUACAUGCAUUCCUGACCUUUUACAACGGACUCACUGACAGUUCUCAAUCAGUGAGCGUAUUCUCGCGAGUGUGCUGGAACAAUUUAGUCCUUCUCUGGUUCUUCGCUUAAAAGUCCCUUUCUACUCCGAGAGCUGUUCUUAGUACUGACUUAGACACAAUCACUGAUCCGAAACUUCGAGGAAUUUCUCUGUCGCGGUCCUGGUUGCCCAUCCUACUCGAUUUUCAUUGAAGUUAUCAGCACACCAUCUAUAUUAGACAUCUAAAAAUCGGUGGUUCCAAUACUGAAAAUUUGUUGUCUAUUAGAAGUGGGAUCGGGGAUAGGGCACAUCUUGGCAAUCUGCAGAGAAUCGGAGAAGGAUAAAGAUAUCCGUCCAUCUGAUGGAUUGGGUGGUUCAUCUUUCUGCUACUAGUAGUUAUGGAGUUACGAGUAUGUAAUGUAACAGGCGAUUUUGAAUAACUAGUUAGUAGUUAACCAGCAGCGUAUGAAGGAGCAUAGCAAUUGGUGUAUGUAAUUACGGUCCUGAGAAGAACAAUUUAGAACGGC